rnacentral:rRNA from 1 species
CCUACGGGGUGCAGCAGUGGGGGAUAUUGCACAAUGGGGGGAACCCUGAUGCAGCGACGCCGCGUGGGUGAAGAAGCGCCUCGGCGCGUAAAGCCCUGUCAGCAGGGAAGAAAAUGACGGUACCUGACGAAGAAGCCCCGGCUAACUACGUGCCAGCAGCCGCGGUAAUACGUAGGGGGCAAGCGUUAUCCGGAUUUACUGGGUGUAAAGGGGGCGCAGACGGCGGUGCAAGUCAGGAGUGAAAGCCCGGGGCCCAACCCCGGGACUGCUCUUGGAACUGCGUGGCUGGAGUGCAGGAGGGGGAGGCGGAAUGCCUGGUGUAGCGGUGAAAUGCGUAGAUAUCAGGAGGAACACCGGUGGCGAAGGCGGCCUGCUGGACUGCAACUGACGUUGAGGCCCGAAAGCGUGGGGAGCAAACAGGAUUAGAUACCCUGGUAGUC